rnacentral:rRNA from 1 species
AUUGAACGCUGGCGGCAGGCCUAACACAUGCAAGUCGAGCGAGCGGCGGACGGGUGAGUAAUGUAUGGGGACUGCACGAUAGAGGGGGAUAACUACUGGAAACGGUGGCUAAUACCGCAUACUAUCGGAUAACCCAGAUGGGAUUAGCUAGUAGGUGGGGUAAAGGCUCACCUAGGCGAAGAUCCCUAGCUGGUCUGAGAGGAUGAUCGGCCACACGGGGACUGAGACACGGCCCAGACUCCUACGGAGGCAGCAGUGGGGAAUAUUGGGCAAUGGGCGAAAGCCUGAUGCAGCCAGGCCGCGUGUAUGAAGAAGGCCUUAGGGUUGUAAAGUACUGUCGGCGGGGAGGCGUUAUCUGCAGAAGAAGCACCGGCUAACUCCGUGCCAGCCGCCGCGGUAAUAC